rnacentral:rRNA from 1 species
AUGGUUAAUGGCAGCCUAGAGAAAUGGUUGCAUUCUGACCAAUACAAUGGAAUCGCAGAUAAAGGGCUAAGCUUUGCCCAGAGGAUAUGCAUAGCAGCAGAUGUGGCUUCUGCUCUUGAUUAUGCCCACAACGAACUGACGCCUCCUCUGAUCCAUUGUGAUUUGAAGCCAAACAAUGUCCUUUUGGAUGAUGACAUGACUGCGCGGCUCAGUGACUUUGGCUCAGCGAAGUUUCUAUCACCAAGUCUGCUAAUUCCUAAAAGCCUGGAUGAUGUUGGAGGGACAAUUGGAUAUGUGGCACCUGAGUAUGGAAUGGGUUGCGAGAUCUCCGUAGCCGGUGAUGUGUAUAGUUUUGGAGUGCUUCUACUGGAAUUGCUUACUGGAAAACGACCUACUGAUGAUAUGUUUGUGGAUGGACUUAGCCUUUGUAAGUUUUGUGAAUCUAUGUUCCCAGACAGAGUUUCUGAGAUUCUUGAUCCUCGUAUGGCACAUGAGGAGCAUCAAGGGUGCACAGAAGGAUGGAUUCAGAGAUAUAUUGUCCCCUUGGUUGCCCUUGGGCUGUCAUGUACCGUGGAAUCUCCAAAGGAUAGGCCCGGAAUGAAAGAUGUUUGUGCAAAACUUUCUGAUAUUAGAGCCUCUUUUCUUUAA